AUUAAAAUAUUUAAACAGUAUAGCCGCACGGCUAUACUCUUUAGAUAAAUUCGUAUAUUUAUGAAGUAUAGCUUUUCGGCUAUACUAUUUAAAAUUCGAAAG
rnacentral:miRNA from 1 species